rnacentral:rRNA from 1 species
AGGGCGUUCAGUCGCUGGGUGUAGACCCGAAACCAGGUGAUCUAUCCAUGGCCAGGAUGAAGGUGCGGUAACACGCACUGGAGGUCCGAACCGACUAGUGUUGCAAAACUAGCGGAUGAGCUGUGGAUAGGGGUGAAAGGCUAAACAAACCUGGAGAUAGCUGGUUCUCUCCGAAAACUAUUUAGGUAGUGCCUCAAGUAUUACCGUCGGGGGUAGAGCACUGUUAUGGCUAGGGGGUCAUGGCGACUUACCAAACCAUUGCAAACUCCGAAUACCGAUGAGUACAGCUUGGGAGACAGUGCACCGGGUGCUAACGUCCGGACACAAGAGGGAAACAACCCAGACCGCCAGCUAAGGUCCCUAAUAUUGGCUAAGUGGGAAACGAAGUGGGAAGGCUAAAACAGUCAGGAUGUUGGCUUAGAAGCAGCCAUCAUUUAAAGAAAGCGUAAUAGCUCACUGAUCGAGUCGUCCUGCGCGGAAGAUGUAACGGGGCUAAGCCAGUAACCGAAGCUGCGGAUGUGCGCGCAAGCGUACGUGGUAGGAGAGCGUUCUGUACGCCUGUGAAGGUGGCUUGUGAAGGCUGCUGGAGGUAUCAGAAGUGCGAAUGCUGACAUGAGUAGCGUUAAAGGGGGUGAAAAGCCCCCUCGCCGAAAGCGCAAGGUUUCCUACGCAACGUUCAUCGGCGUAGGGUGAGUCGGCCCCUAAGGCGAGGCAGAGAUGCGUAGCUGAUGGGAAACAGGUCAAUAUUCCUGUACCGAUGUGUAGUGCGAUGUGGGGACGGAGAUGGUUAGCUCAGCCGGGUGUUGGAUGUCCCGGUUCAAGCCUGUAGUCAUGCCUGGUAGGCAAAUCCGCCGGGCUUAGAUGAGGGGUGAUAACGAGGCGGCUUGCCGCCGAAGUGAGUGAUACCCUGCUUCCAGGAAAAGCCACUAAGCUUCAGCUGCACACGACCGUACCGCAAACCGACACUGGUGCGCGAGAUGAGUAUUCUAAGGCGCUUGAGAGAACUCUGGAGAAGGAACUCGGCAAAUUGACACCGUAACUUCGGAAGAAGGUGUGCCUUUAGUAGGUGAUCCAUUUACUUGGUGAGCCCAAUGAGGCCGCAGAGAAUCGGUGGCUGCAACUGUUUAAUAAAAACACAGCACUCUGCAAAGACGAAAGUCGACGUAUAGGGUGUGACGCCUGCCCGGUGCUGGAAGAUUAAAUGAUGGGGUGCAAGCUCUUGAUUGAAGUCCCAGUAAACGGCGGCCGUAACUAUAACGGUCCUAAGGUAGCGAAAUUCCUUGUCGGGUAAGUUCCGACCUGCACGAAUGGCGUAAUGAUGGCCACACUGUCUCCUCCAGAGACUCAGCGAAGUUGAAAUGUUUGUGAUGAUGCAAUCUCCCCGCGGAAAGACGGAAAGACCCCAUGAACCUUUACUGUAGCUUUACAUUGGACUUUGAACAGAUCUGUGUAGGAUAGGUGGGAGGCUUUGAAGCGGUGCCGCUAGGUGUCGUGGAGCC